rnacentral:lncRNA from 1 species
CUUCUAAUUCUUUAAUAAAUUCAGGGGAAAAAUCCUUCCUCCUCUGCCUUCCAAAGGAAAAAAAGGGAAAAGCACUGUACCAGUGGAUUGCAGAGAGGUGUUUCUUGAGAGAAGAUUACAGAUAGAAUUCGGCUAACAAAAUUAAAUAUCUAUGAGAGGUCUAGGACAAUAGUAGGAGAUAAGAUGGCCAAAAGUUUGAGAUAUUUUCUAUGGUCAUGGGAGGAACACCGUGGAUUCACGAAAUCAUGUUUCCUCUCAGAAAGAUAAUGAGAGAGAGAGACAGAGAGGGGGUGGUGGGGGGUGUGAUGGUUAGGAAAUCAUAGAAAUAUUGAUGCUUAUCAAAGGAAUAGCACUAUAAUUUAAAAACUUGAAUCCGAGGAAAACAAAAUUUACUUUCCCAAAGCCCAACUCCAAACAGAAACACAGUGGGGUGGGGGAGGGAGGGGGGGGAGAGAGAGAGAGGCGGAAGGAGAAAAGUAGUUAUCAUGA